rnacentral:lncRNA from 1 species
UAUAUUAGUGUCACCACACAAGUGGUUGUGAGGUCAACCAUCCUUAUUUCUGAGCAUAUAUAGGACAUGCUAGUCUUACCGUAUCAUUAAUCUCCGACUUAAUGUAUCAAUGACUAAAAAUAUUUUAGAUCAGGGCUAUCAAAAAUUUAGGUCUCACUGGCAUGAUCUUAUCACGGUCCUAAAACUAUUGCCUAGACGUAUGAGAUUUAUUAUAAUCUUAAAAUUAAUAAGAUGCAGCAUAUAAUGAAUCAAAAAUAUCAAUUUUAUUAAUAAUAUUAAUAUCAAUUACAUGAGAUUGGAAAAUAAAUUACAAUAAACAUGCUAUCAUAUCCCAUAUAAGAUUGGCAUGUAGGGCAUAAUUCUUUCAAUCUCCCACUUGCACUAAAGCCAAUAACCCCUAUACUUGAUACCCAUGCUAUUAAGG